rnacentral:rRNA from 1 species
UACGGAGGGUGCGAGCGUUGUCCGGAAUCACUGGGCGUAAAGGGCGCGUAGGCGGUCUGCUAAGCGUGCGGUGAAAGCCUGGGGCUCAACCCCAGGUCUGCCGUGCGAACUGGUGGACUAGAGCACUGUAGAGGCAGGUGGAAUUCCGGGUGUAGCGGUGGAAUGCGUAGAGAUCCGGAAGAACACCGGUGGCGAAGGCGGCCUGCUGGGCAGUUGCUGACGCUGAGGCGCGA